AUGCAUCCCUAGAACACCAUCUUCUAUUUUGUGAUUAUCUAAAAAAACUUAUGUGCAAAAUAAUAGCUAACACUUCUCUGUAAAAUAGAUAGUCAUCGUCUACACUCUUCGAUAUCUCUGUCUUCUUAAAUUUAUAUUGUUAAAUAAAUAAAAAAAAGUCGAUAAGAUUUUUCAAAGAUGCUCUUCUUCCUCUGUUCUUCUCAUUCUUCUCUGGGUUUGUUUUCUUGAUUAUAAAUAAAUUAUUGGUUCUUCUUUUUAAUGGUCGAAUUAAGCAAUUCCAUGACCACAUCGAAUUCCGUCAUGAUCACAGGAUGAAGAAAUUUCUUAGAUCACAAAUCUUCCUGCUGUUCAUCUGGAGAUGGGAAAGAUCAUGAUUCGGGAGGGUGAUGAAGCUGCGGCUCAGGAGGAUGAGAGGGUUGGGAAGGAACCUGAGGUAGAGAGGAAAAGAGACGCGGAACCAGAGUUUGGAAAGCAGUAAGAAGGAGGAGAAGCAUAAAGCUUUGAAGGAGAUAGAGAUGAUUAAUAGUGCUGCGUACAAGGAGAGAGAGAUACAGAAACAGGAAGAGGUGAAGUGGGCUGGUGAGGCAGAGAGGAAGCGUGUAGAAGAAUAAGAAGAGGAGACCCGAGAGAGCGCAGAGUGUCAGGCUGCAGAGUGAGAAGCUACUCAACUGAGAAUGAGCCAAGAGAGAGCACUUCCUCUUGGCGGAACUGAGAAAGGACCUUAUGCUACACAUGCUACAAGAGUCAGCAGAAGUUAUUUGAUACUUUGUCGAUGCUAGAUGAAGUCUUUGAUAAGUUCUUUGAAUCAUCAUAAACAUAUAUGCAUUACAUUUCUAUAUAGAUGAAUUAGAAAACAUGUUUUAUGUGUCUCAAAGGUGAAAAUAUAAUGAACAGAUUUUGAAACUGUUAAA